UACGGGGGGAGCAAGCGUUGUUCGGAUUUACUGGGCGUAAAGGGCGCGUAGGCGGCCACUGCAAGUCGGUUGUGAAAUCUCCGGGCUUAACCCGGAAAGGUCAAUCGAUACUGCAGGGCUAGAGUGCGGAAGGGGCAACUGGAAUUCUCGGUGUAGCGGUGAAAUGCGUAGAUAUUGAGAGGAACACCUGCGGCGAAGGCGGGUUGCUGGGCCGACACUGACGCUGACAGCGCGAAAGCUAGGGGAGCGAACGGG
rnacentral:rRNA from 1 species